rnacentral:rRNA from 1 species
AGAGUUUGAUCAUGGCUCAGGACGAACGCUGGCGGCGUGCUUAACACAUGCAAGUCGAACGGAAAGGCCCUUCGGGGUACUCGAGUGGCGAACGGGUGAGUAACACGUGGGUGAUCUGCCCUGCACUUUGGGAUAAGCCUGGGAAACUGGGUCUAAUACCGAAUAGGACCGCGCUCUUCAUGGGGUGUGGUGGAAAGCUUUUGCGGUGUGGGAUGGGCCCGCGGCCUAUCAGCUUGUUGGUGGGGUAAUGGCCUACCAAGGCGACGACGGGUAGCCGGCCUGAGAGGGUGACCGGCCACACUGGGACUGAGAUACGGCCCAGACUCCUACGGGAGGCAGCAGUGGGGAAUAUUGCACAAUGGGCGCAAGCCUGAUGCAGCGACGCCGCGUGAGGGAUGACGGCCUUCGGGUUGUAAACCUCUUUCAAUAGGGACGAAGCGCAAGUGACGGUACCUAUAGAAGAAGGACCGGCCAACUACGUGCCAGCAGCCGCGGUAAUACGUAGGGUCCGAGCGUUGUCCGGAAUUACUGGGCGUAAAGAGCUCGUAGGUGGUUUGUCGCGUUGUUCGUGAAAACUCACAGCUUAACUGUGGGCGUGCGGGCGAUACGGGCAGACUAGAGUACUGCAGGGGAGACUGGAAUUCCUGGUGUAGCGGUGGAAUGCGCAGAUAUCAGGAGGAACACCGGUGGCGAAGGCGGGUCUCUGGGCAGUAACUGACGCUGAGGAGCGAAAGCGUGGGUAGCGAACAGGAUUAGAUACCCCGGUAGUCCAA